rnacentral:rRNA from 1 species
CCUACGGGGGGCUGCAGUGGGGAAUAUUGGACAAUGGGGGGAACCCUGAUCCAGCCAUGCCGCGUGUGUGAAGAAGGCCCUCGGGUUGUAAAGCACUUUCAGUGAGGAAGAACGCCUGGUGGUUAAUACCCAUCAGGAAAGACAUCACUCACAGAAGAAGCACCGGCUAACUCCGUGCCAGCAGCCGCGGUAAUACGGAGGGUGCGAGCGUUAAUCGGAAUUACUGGGCGUAAAGCGCGCGUAGGUGGCUUGAUAAGCCGGUUGUGAAAGCCCCGGGCUCAACCUGGGAACGGCAUCCGGAACUGUCAAGCUAGAGUGCAGGAGAGGAAGGUAGAAUUCCCGGUGUAGCGGUGAAAUGCGUAGAGAUCGGGAGGAAUACCAGUGGCGAAGGCGGCCUUAUGGACUGACACUGACACUGAGGUGCGAAAGCGUGGGUAGCAAACAGGAUUAGAUACCCCGGUAGUC